rnacentral:rRNA from 1 species
UAAAGGGUUUCCCUGGGAGCGGCGAGCGAAGCGGGAAGAGCUCAAAUUUAUAAUCUGGCACCUUCGGUGUCCGAGUUGUAAUCUCUAGAAAUGUUUUCCGCGUUGGACCGCACACAAGUCUGUUGGAAUACAGCGGCAUAGUGGUGAGACCCCCGUAUAUGGUGCGGACGCCCAGCGCUUUGUGAUACAUUUUCGAAGAGUCGAGUUGUUUGGGAAUGCAGCUCAAAUUGGGUGGUAAAUUCCAUCUAAAGCUAAAUAUUGGCGAGAGACCGAUAGCGAACAAGUACCGUGAGGGAAAGAUGAAAAGCACUUUGGAAAGAGAGUUAACAGUACGUGAAAUUGUUGGAAGGGAAACGCUUGAAGUCAGACUUGCUUGCCGAGCAAUCGGUUUGCAGGCCAGCAUCAGUUUUCCGGGAUGGAUAAUGGUAGAGAGAAGGUAGCAGUUUCGGCUGUGUUAUAGCUCUCUGCUGGAUACAUCUUGGGGGACUGAGGAACGCAGUGUGCCUUUGGCGGGGGUUUCGACCUCUUCACACUUAGGAUGCUGGUGGAAUGGCUUUAAACGACCCGUCUUGAACCACGGACCA